rnacentral:rRNA from 1 species
GACGAACAGUGCGAGCGUUAUUCGGAAUUACUGGGCGUAAAGGGCGCGUAGGCGGCCUGUGCAAGUCAGUUGUGAAAUCUCCGAGCUUAACUCGGAACGGUCAACUGAUACUGCUCGGCUAGAGUGCGGAAGGGGCAACUGGAAUUCUUGGUGUAGCGGUGAAAUGCGUAGAUAUCAAGAGGAACACCUGCGGCGAAGGCGGGUUGCUGGGCCGACACUGACGCUGAGGCGCGAAAGCUAGGGGAGCGAACGGG